CCUACGGGAGGCAGCAGUGGGGAAUAUUGGACAAUGGGGGGAACCCUGAUCCAGCCAUGCCGCGUGUGUGAAGAAGGCCCUCGGGUUGUAAAGCACUUUCAGCGGGGAAGAAGGCGUGGUGGUGAAUAGCCGCCACGAGCGACAUCACCCGCAGAAGAAGCACCGGCUAACUCCGUGCCAGCAGCCGCG
rnacentral:rRNA from 1 species